CUGUUACUCUCAGAAUUGGGAGAAUCCAGCAAUCAGGUCAGGAGACGCAAACAGCAGCCUCCUUGGUAGGGCACGCAGCCUGUUGCCCGCGCAGGCUGCCUUAAGGGGCCUUGGAGACACCG
ensembl:snoRNA SNORA70 Small nucleolar RNA SNORA70